rnacentral:lncRNA from 1 species
GUGCAGUGGCGCAAUUUCAGCUCACUGUAGCCCCCACCUCCCAGGUUCAAGUGAUUCUCCUGCCUCAGCCUCCCGAGUAGCUGGGACUACAGGCACGCGCCACCAUGCUCAGCUAAUUUUCGUGUUUUUAGUAGAGAUGGGGUUUCACCAUGUUGGCCAGGAUGGUCUUGAUCUCUUGACCUCAUGAUCCACCCACCCCGGCCUCCCAAAGUGCUGGGAUUACAGGCGUGAGCCACUGUGCCUGGCCCAGAUUAAAUACUUCUUUAGAAGAUGGACUAGAAAUGGGUCAUCAGAAAUUGUUUUUACUUACAUAUGAAGAAUUCCAAUCUUCAAAAAAUUUUAGAACUCAAUCAGAACUUGAGAACUUCUUUCAGUAGGUGCUGUGAUUCAAUAACCAGAAUUCUGCUUUACUUUAUAGUUACACAAGUAUUUCUGUCAUUUUCCUACUAAAUUACGUGAAGGGGGUUGUCUGCUUAUGAGCUGCACCACCGAGCAGCAUGCCUAUCAGUGAGAAGGUGCCUGACAAUUCUCAGUUGAAAUGUCCUGACCAAGUUCCCCCAGAAAUUUAUGACUAAUAACAAAAGGGAAAAGCUACCCUCACAAGGAGAUGUCCAGUUGACACUAUCUCAACCAAAAUUAUUAAACAUAGCAUCAGCAAUCGUGGGACAAACAGACGCAAACAUCUCCUGGUGUGAGGUGCAUCAAGGAAAACAAUCUACAAGAAACAAAAUGGUGAGAAAAAGCAGCACACUCACGGCUCUGAAGAGCACAGCAUAAGGCUACAAAAAGGACCAAGCACCUUCUCAACCUGCAAUGUGCUCAGUGUCUGUAAAUCACAAGUUAGGUGAUGAAGGGCUGGUAGUUUCCCAUGAAUUAAUAACUUUCCUUCUUGCCCCCGUGUUAUCUCCCUCACCUGACCCCCGCCAAUAAAACAUCCUUAAAAGGCUCCUCUCAAAUUCCUUGCAAACAUUAGGCUCCUCUCAAAUUGCUUGCACAUGCUUGGAGAAGCUCACAGUGGUUAGUACACUCAUACACAACUGAACUUGAGCGACACAAAGCUUACAAGACAGCAAAGACAACAGCAAAGCUGGGCCCAGCAGCCAUCACCUAAAGAACUCUUCACUCGUUACAUUGGAGCAGGUGAUCUCUCUGGAACCAGGAACCACAGAACACUGAAGGACACGGAGCUGGUGGCUAAGGAUUCAAGGCCUGCAGUGAAAAUGUAACAUUUCCCUCCAAGUGCUUAUUUCUGCUAUAAACUGGUUUAGUUUUGCAAUGAACAACUAGAUUUCUAACUGAUAUUCACGUUAAUAAACUUUUCUUUUUUAAGACAGGGUCUUGCUCUGUCACCCAGGCUGGAGUGCAGUGGUGCAGUCAUGGCUUACUGGAGCCUCAACCUCCUAGGCUCAACCAAUCCUCCUGCCUCAGCCUCCCAAGUAGCUGGGGCUACAGAUGGAUGCUACCAUGCCCAGCUAAUUAAAGGAUUUUUUUU